AAUGCGCGCAAGCGUGACCGAGCGACGCCGAGUGCUGGAUGAAGGCCUUCGGGUUGUAAACAGCUGUCAGAGGGGAUGAAUUCAGGCGGGUCAUCCCGCCUGUUUGACAGAGCCUCAGAGGAAGCACGGGCUAAGCUCGUGCCAGCAGCCGCGGUAACACGAACUGUGCGAACGUUAUUCGGAAUCACUGGGCUUAAAGGGUGCGUAGGCGGACUGUUAAGUAGGGUGUGAAAUUUGUCGGCUCAACCGGCAAACUGCAUUCUAAACUGGCAGUCUUGAGGGAGUCAGGGGUGUGUGGAACUUCCAGUGGAGCGGUGAAAUGUGUUGAUAUUGGAAGGAACGCCGGUGGCGAAAGCGACACACUGGGGCUUUUCUGACGCUGAGGCACGAAAGCCAGGGUAGCGAACAGGAUU
rnacentral:rRNA from 1 species